GCCGGGCGCGGUGGCGCGUGCCUGUAGUCCCAGCUUCUGGGGAGGCUGAGGUGGGAGGAUCGCUUGAGCCCAGGAGUUCUGGGCUGCAGUGCGCUAUGCCAAUCAGGUGUCCACACUAAGUUCGGCAUCAAUAUGGUGACCACCCGUGAGCGGGGGACCACCAGGUUGCCUAAGGAGGGGUGAACCGGCCCAGGUCGGAAACGGAGCAGGUCAAAACUCCCGUGCUGAUCAGAAAGACACGAGAUAAGAGUGUAUAAAAGGCUGGUAAGUGGAUGGCAUAUAUCUUCCUCU
rnacentral:SRP_RNA from 1 species